CCUACGGGAGGCAGCAGUGGGGAAUAUUGCACAAUGGGCGAAAGCCUGAUGCAGCAACGCCGCGUGAAGGAAGACGGUUUUCGGAUUGUAAACUUCUAUCAAUAGGGAAGAAAGAAAUGACGGUACCUAAAUAAGAGGCCCCGGCUAACUACGUGCCAGCAGCCGCGGUAAUACGUAGGGGGCAAGCGUUAUCCGGAAUUACUGGGUGUAAAGGGAGAGUAGGCGGCAAGGUAAGCGAUAUGUGAAAGCCUUAAGCUUAACUAAAGGAUUGCAUAACGAACUAUCUAGCUAGAGUACAGGAGAGGAAAGCGGAAUUCCUAGUGUAGCGGUGAAAUGCGUAGAUAUAUGGAAGAACACCAGUGGCGAAAGCGGCUCUCUGGUCUGUAACUGACGCUGAGGUUCGAAAGCGUGGGUAGCAAACAGGAUUAGAUACCCCUGUAGUC
rnacentral:rRNA from 1 species